UGUCUCAGACAGUAGAGUGUCUGCCUGCAAUGCAGGAGACCCGGGUUCAAUCCCUGG
rnacentral:tRNA from 1 species